rnacentral:tRNA from 1 species
GCAGGCAUGGCGAAACUGGUAGACGCGUACGUUUGAGGGGCGUAUGGGGUAACCCGUGAGAGUUCAAAUCUCUUUGCCUGCACCA